rnacentral:lncRNA from 1 species
GGAUCUGACAUUUAGCUUCUUCAAAGUAAUAAAUGCAUCUAAAAAUGCAACAAAGUUCAAUAUUUCAUUUACAGCAAUAGAAUUGGAGCCACGAACCCAGAUGUGUCCAGUCCAGGAAUUGGUAUGGUGAGUAUCUUUUCAUUAACAGUCUUAUAAAAAUAAAAAUAAAAAGCCUUAAAGCAAAAGUAAUAAGAUUGACUGAAAGAUGUUGUUCAUUGUGUUUUCAGAGUUGUUCUGCCCCACGAGAGAUGUAUUCUCUGAUCACUUCUGCACUAGCCACAUCUCAACCCAUAUAUGAAGAUUUGGAGCACUCAGAGUCACAUCAGCACAACAGAGCAGACCCUUCACACACUUUUAUUACUUCUGCAAACCCAAUCUACCAGCCCUCAGAUGCCGUGGCCAACAAAAAACAGCAUCAAAAAAAUGCAGAGGAAAAUGAGGUAUGAACCAAAUCCACAUAAUUGUUCAAUCAUGAACAGAAUACACAUUAAUGUAUUUCUUUCUUUCUCCUUAAGGAUGUUUACCACAUGUACUGCACCAUCCCAGAUAGACCAGUUUAGUCCAGCACUGGAGAAUACAGUUUGAUCCAGAUGCACUGAAGACUUUCAUUUUACUUGUUUCAAUUGACAAUUGUACUCUCCCAUUCACUGCGCUCUAGGUUUAUCCAACUAUGAUAACUUCUGCUUCUGAGAAACCUGGAAAUGUGAAAAAGGUUCAUAUAGUGUCAUAAAAAGCUGAAGUGAAUAUUAAUAACUAUUAUUUGGACUGGUGAUUUUUUCUUUUUAAUUGUGUUUUGUCUUGAUUCUGUAUGCACUGAAAAGCUGCAUUAUGGUUUUAAUUUAUUGUGUACUAUUUGUUUAAUUAUUAUUUGUUUAAUUAUUCGGGAAAAGGCAAAUUGUACUACAUUGUACAAAAUUCAUAUGAAUUCGCCACUAAAUCGAAAAGUUACGAAUUGCCCUGGGUAUGUGUUGGAAAAACUAUAAGCUUCAGUAUUUCUAGAGUGUUUCAUUAAAUUAUUGUUUUUAUUGCAUGAAGUCAAACUAACUACCAUUAUAAGAGAAUCUGAUCUUUUUAAAGUUAUAUUUAAACAUUUUCAUUUUUCUUUUACUUAGGUGAAUUUUUAUUUAAGACUACUUUUCACUUAUUUAAAGUCCCUCAAUAAAGCAAAGAGUUUCCUGUGUUCCGACACUCUCUUUACUUUCUAAUUCACACUUUGAGUCUCAUUCAGUCUGUUUUCUCACACUCGCUGUGAUGGAGUUGUUCGUCUUUGUUGUUUUUUGGCUCCUGGUGGAGGUUCAGUCAAACAGUAGGUGAUUUACGUUCAUGUGCUUAAUGAAAACCUUUUUGCAGUCUAAAAUAUGUGUGAUAUCUGUACAAGAGGAGUUUUAAUAUGAACAUACCUGACAUUUUAAUAGAGGAUUAAUAUGUACAUGUGAGAACAGCUGUCUUUUUAAAUAAAAAAAGAAAAUACAUGACUGAUUUUGGAAUAUUAGUAUACUUUUAAAUAUUAUUAUUAUUGUACUAGCAAAAAACAUUACAUGGGAUUCUUCUGCUGCCACAGUGACUGCAGUGAUUAUUAACUAUGUAUUGUUUGACUUCCACCAGACACACUUCAGAAACCCUUCAUCAGUGUUAGUGAAGAUAAGGAUCUGCUCAUCAUAUCAUGUGAAAUACCAGCUUCAGUCAGAGCUGAUGUGUCCUGUAAUCUCUACACUGGAGAUGAUGCUCUUCUGGACAGCCUUGACUCUCAGAGGAGUUCAUUUGGAGAGUAAUAUCUUUGUAUGUUUUAUCAAACUCUUAGUGAACUCUUGAGAAGAUCAGGACACAUCAGACAAGUGAGCUGUGAUUAUUCACUCAAGACUAAACCUGACAUCAGAUCUCCACACAGUGACACAUACUGUACACACUCAGAGGUAUGAUUAAUUUACCAUGGUAUAUAAUUUUCACAUAUGGGAGUUGUAGAAACCAUAAUUUUCUACAAAAUGCAGGCUACAAUGCAGGCUAGUAAUAUAUAAAUAUAUAAUAUUUGUAUAUCCAUUAAAUCAAAAACAACCUAUAAACAAAAGAAAAGUCAAUAACCCACAAACAAACAAAUAAAUAUGUCAAUGUCUGAAAAGUGAUGUGCUAUUUUAGUUAUCUGGUG